rnacentral:lncRNA from 1 species
AGGUUUUCUCUUUUCAAUAAUUCGGCUGAACUGCCUUCUUCCCUGUGAAUUCCUUUUGCUUCAAUUGCUUCAGGUGCGUUCUUUCUUCAUCUGCUUCAAUUUUGAUCUAGUUUAAUUACGUUUAAGUAUUAUUAUUCUUCUCAAUUUAUGGCUCCUACACUGAUUUGUGAGAUCAGGGAUUACGUAUUUUCCGUUGCCCCAAUGCUUCAGUUUAAUGAUUUUUUAUUCAAUUAUUUUCAGGCUUGAAGGAUGACAUGAGUUUUUCUGAAGGGAAGUAUCCUUUUGGGCAAAUUAACUUUAGAAUGCCGCUACUCGUAUUAAGAUGAUUUUUUCCUUUUCUCUUAACUCAAUUUGUUUUCUUUAUCUCAGUAGCCAUGAAAUUUGUGAUUUUCAGUUGUAGUUUAGUUAUUGCUUGAACCAGUAAUAAAAUAUUUAUGUACAAUCUGCCUUGGAAUAGUCCAUCUUGAAGAAUAUGAUUGAGUAAAUCUUGUUAAAUAUAUAUGCUUCAAAAUAUAUGAAUACUUUAAACAAACGGUACCUCUGCUAUUAGAUUCUUUACUUUUGGUUACAGAUUACUCAGUGUUUCUGUAAAGAGCUUUUCACUUAACAUAAAGCUUUUUCAAAUUCUAACCAUAAUUUAAUUAUGUUGUGUGAUGCUAAAAUUGCUUGAAGAGACCCAUAUAUUAAUAAUUGUGCGAGAGCACAUCGGAAUUCUUCAGACAAGGUAUUUGCUAAUGUUAUCUCUAACAUCUACAUUGGAAAAUCUCAAGAAACUACAUGGUCUUUAGUAUCUCUUUUACUUGCUAAGGUCUUGCAGUGAACUUUAAUCUUGGGGAUUUUUGGGUAGGUUAAUUAUUAGUAUACCACUGAUGCUUAAUUUAUUUUGAAAAAAGAUAGUGAACAAUAAUUUUCUAUAUGGCUACUAGAAAUAGAGAGCGAAGAACUUGAGCCUUACAUUGAAGCAUCUCAAGCACAAAAGAUGUAUUAUGUAGAUGAUAUGUUGUACAUCCAUAGCCAAAAGAUUUAAUUUGUAUGAUAUGUGAGAAGAGAUUUAAGAAGAAAUAUACUAGAAUGAGACAUAUCAAGAGCAAGAACUUGAACACUUUUUGGCCAUGUGACGAGUAUGUACAACUAGUUACAUACUAUCUAAUUGAUGAUGUAAUAAAGAAAAAUGUUGUUUCUGACUUUAUUAAAUAUGUGCCCUAUCUGAAG